CCUACGGGAGACAGCAGUGAGGAAUAUUGGUCAAUGGACGCAAGUCUGAACCAGCCAUGCCGCGUGCAGGAAGACGGCUCUAUGAGUUGUACACUGCUUUUGUACGGGGGUAAACGCAGAUACGCGUAUCUGUCUGAAAGUAUCGUACGCAUAAGGAUCGGCUAACUCCGUGCCAGCAGCCGCGGUAAUACGGAGGAUUCAAGCGUUAUCCGGAUUUAUUGGGUUUAAAGGGUGCGUAGGCGGUCGGAUAAGUUAGAGGUGAAAUCCCGGGGCUCAACUUCGGAAUUGCCUCUGAUACUGGUCGGCUAGAGAGUAGUUGCGGUAGGCGGAAUGUAGGGUGUAGCGGUGAAAUGCUUAGAGAUCAGACAGAACACCGAUUGCGAAGGCAGCUUACCAAGCUACUUCUGACGUUGAGGCACGAAAGCGUGGGGAGCAAACAGGAUUAGAUACCCUAGUAGUC
rnacentral:rRNA from 1 species